rnacentral:rRNA from 1 species
UACGUAGGGCGCAAGCGUUGUCCGGAAUUAUUGGGCGUAAAGAGCUCGUAGGCGGUUUGUCGCGUCUGCUGUGAAAUCCCGAGGCUCAACCUCGGGCUUGCAGUGGGUACGGGCAGACUAGAGUGCGGUAGGGGAGACUGGAAUUCCUGGUGUAGCGGUGGAAUGCGCAGAUAUCAGGGAGGAACACCAAUAGCGAAGGCAGCUCGCUGGGGACGUUACUGACACUGAGGCGCGAAAGCGUGAGGAGCGAACAGG